GAGCUCAGGAGGUUAGAGUGUGGUACUGAUAAUGCCAAGGUUGCAGGUUCGAUCCCCAUAUGAGACA